AUUGAACGCUAGCGGCAUGCCUUACACAUGCAAGUCGAACGGUAACAGGUCUUCGGAUGCUGACGAGUGGCGAACGGGUGAGUAAUACAUCGGAACGUGCCUAGUAGUGGGGGAUAACUACUCGAAAGAGUGGCUAAUACCGCAUGAGAUCUAUGGAUGAAAGCAGGGGAUCGCAAGACCUUGUGCUACUAGAGCGGCCGAUGGCAGAUUAGGUAGUUGGUGGGAUAAAAGCUUACCAAGCCGACGAUCUGUAGCUGGUCUGAGAGGACGAUCAGCCACACUGGGACUGAGACACGGCCCAGACUCCUACGGGAGGCAGCAGUGGGGAAUUUUGGACAAUGGGCGCAAGCCUGAUCCAGCAAUGCCGCGUGCAGGAUGAAGGCCUUCGGGUUGUAAACUGCUUUUGUACGGAACGAAAAGCCCUGGGUUAAUACCCUGGGGUCAUGACGGUACCGUAAGAAUAAGCACCGGCUAACUACGUGCCAGCCGCCGCCGUAAUAC
rnacentral:rRNA from 1 species